rnacentral:lncRNA from 1 species
AAAAAAAAAUAAUUUGAUAACAACUAUGACAUUAGAAGAUCUGACGCACACAGUUGUAUCAAUAAUUUAUGAAAAACAAAAGAAAAACAUAUAAAUGAUAUCUGACAUCAGAAGAUCUGACGCUCAACGGAAUAUCAAUGAAUGAAAAAAGAAAUGUGUUGAUUUGUAUUAAUAUAAAUAAACAAAACCUGAAAUAAACCAAAUAGAUAAUCAAAAACUAUCCACUAGUAGUUUGUUUUAUAAGGUUAUAUUUUGUCUUAUUCUCUAGGUGUAUGCAAAUCUGUGUAUUUUAUAAAUGUGUUACAAAAAGGGG